UGGGGAAUUUUGGACAAUGGGCGCAAGCCUGAUCCAGCAAUGCCGCGUGCAGGAUGAAGGCCUUCGGGUUGUAAACUGCUUUUGUACGGAACGAAAAGCCCUGGGUUAAUACCCUGGGGUCAUGACGGUACCGUAAGAAUAAGCACCGGCUAACUACGUGCCAGCAGCCGCGGUAAUACGUAGGGUGCAAGCGUUAAUCGGAAUUACUGGGCGUAAAGCGUGCGCAGGCGGUUUUGUAAGACAGAGGUGAAAUCCCCGGGCUCAACCUGGGAACUGCCUUUGUGACUGCAAGGCUAGAGUACGGCAGAGGGGGAUGGAAUUCCGCGUGUAGCAGUGAAAUGCGUAGAUAUGCGGAGGAACACCGAUGGCGAAGGCAAUCCCCUGGGCCUGUACUGACGCUCAUGCACGAAAGCGUGGGGAGCAAACA
rnacentral:rRNA from 1 species